UACGUAGGGAGCGAGCGUUGUCCGGAUUUACUGGGUGUAAAGGGUGCGUAGGCGGCUCUGCAAGUCAGAAGUGAAAUCUAUGGGCUUAACCCAUAAACUGCUUUUGAAACUGUGGAGCUUGAGUGAAGUAGAGGUAGGCGGAAUUCCCGGUGUAGCGGUGAAAUGCGUAGAGAUCGGGAGGAACACCAGUGGCGAAGGCGGCCUACUGGGCUUUAACUGACGCUGAGGCACGAAAGCGUGGGUAGCAAACAGG
rnacentral:rRNA from 1 species